AACAGAGUUAAGAAUGCCAACAAUAAAAAUAAAAUUGUCACAUGCUUCCUAAACUAACAGUGAAACGUACGUCUGUGGUAGUAUAUAAUAUAUAAAGAUAGAUAGAAUCUGCAGCCUGUUGGAGUGUGGGUGUGUUCUGUGGUAGUAUAUAAUAUAUAAAGAUAGAUAGAAUCUGCAGCCUGUUGGAAGGUGGGUGUGUUCUGUGGUAGUAUAUAAUAUAUAAAGAUACAGAUAGAAUCUGCAGCCUGUUGGAAGGUGGGUGUGUUCUGUGGUAGUAUAUAAUAUAUAAAGAUACAGAUAGAAUCUGCAGCCUGUUGGAAGGUGGGUGUGUUCUGUGGUAGUAUAUAAUAUAUAAAGAUACAGAUAGAAUCUGCAGCCUGUUGGAAGGUGGGUGUGUUCUGUGGUAGUAUAUAAUAUAUAAAGAUACAGAUAGAAUCUGCAGCCUGUUGGAAGGUGGGUGUGUUCUGUGGUAGUAUAUAAUAUAUAAAGAUACAGAUAGAAUCUGCAGCCUGUUGGAAGGUGGGUGUGUUCUGUGGUAGUAUAUAAUAUAUAAAGAUACAGAUAGAAUCUGCAGCCUGUUGGAAGGUGGGUGUGUUCUGUGGUAGUAUAUAAUAUAUAAAGAUAGAUAGAAUCUGCAGCCUGUUGGAAGGUGGGUGUGUUCUGUGGUAGUAUAUAAUAUAUAAAGAUAGAUAGAAUCUGCAGCCUGUUGGAAGGUGGGUGUGUUCUGUGGUAGUAUAUAAUAUAUAAAGAUAGAUAGAAUCUGCAGCCUGUUGGAGGGUGGGUGUGUUCUGUGGUAGUAUAUAAUAUAUAAAGAUACAGAUAGAAUCUGCAGCCUGUUGGAAGGUGGGUGUGUUCUGUGGUAGUAUAUAAUAUAUAAAGAUACAGAUAGAAUCUGCAGCCUGUUGGAGGGUGGGUGUGUUCUGUGGUAGUAUAUAAUAUAUAAAGAUAGAUAGAAUCUGCAGCCUGUUGGAGUGUGGGUGUGUUCUGUGGUAGUAUAUAAUAUAUAAAGAUACAGAUAGAAUCUGCAGCCUGUUGGAAGGUGGGUGUGUUCUGUGGUAGUAUAUAAUAUAUAAAGAUAGAUAGAAUCUGCAGCCUGUUGGAGGGUGGGUGUGUUCUGUGGUAGUAUAUAAUAUAUAAAGAUACAGAUAGAAUCUGCAGCCUGUUGGAGGGUGGGUGUGUUCUGUGGUAGUAUAUAAUAUAUAAAGAUACAGAUAGAAUCUGCAGCCUGUUGGAAGGUGGGUGUGUUCUGUGGUAGUAUAUAAUAUAUAAAGAUACAGAUAGAAUCUGCAGCCUGUUGGAAGGUGGGUGUGUUCUGUGGUAGUAUAUAAUAUAUAAAGAUACAGAUAGAAUCUGCAGCCUGUUGGAAGGUGGGUGUGUUCUGUGGUAGUAUAUAAUAUAUAAAGAUACAGAUAGAAUCUGCAGCCUGUUGGAAGGUGGGUGUGUUCUGUGGUAGUAUAUAAUAUAUAAAGAUAGAUAGAAUCUGCAGCCUGUUGGAAGGUGGGUGUGUUCUGUGGUAGUAUAUAAUAUAUAAAGAUAGAUAGAAUCUGCAGCCUGUUGGAAGGUGGGUGUGUUCUGUGGUAGUAUAUAAUAUAUAAAGAUACAGAUAGAAUCUGCAGCCUGUUGGAAGGUGGGUGUGUUCUGUGGUAGUAUAUAAUAUAUAAAGAUAGAUAGAAUCUGCAGCCUGUUGGAAGGUGGGUGUGUUCUGUGGUAGUAUAUAAUAUAUAAAGAUAGAUAGAAUCUGCAGCCUGUUGGAAGGUGGGUGUGUUCUGUGGUAGUAUAUAAUAUAUAAAGAUACAGAUAGAAUCUGCAGCCUGUUGGAGGGUGGGUGUGUUCUGUGGUAGUAUAUAAUAUAUAAAGAUACAGAUAGAAUCUGCAGCCUGUUGGAAGGUGGGUGUGUUCUGUGGUAGUAUAUAAUAUAUAAAGAUACAGAUAGAAUCUGCAGCCUGUUGGAAGGUGGGUGUGUUCUGUGGUAGUAUAUAAUAUAUAAAGAUAGAUAGAAUCUGCAGCCUGUUGGAGGGUGGGUGUGUUCUGUGGUAGUAUAUAAUAUAUAAAGAUACAGAUAGAAUCUGCAGCCUGUUGGAGGGUGGGUGUGUUCUGUGGUAGUAUAUAAUAUAUAAAGAUACAGAUAGAAUCUGCAGCCUGUUGGAAGGUGGGUGUGUUCUGUGGUAGUAUAUAAUAUAUAAAGAUAGAUAGAAUCUGCAGCCUGUUGGAAGGUGGGUGUGUUCUGUGGUAGUAUAUAAUAUAUAAAGAUAGAUAGAAUCUGCAGCCUGUUGGAAGGUGGGUGUGUUCUGUGGUAGUAUAUAAUAUAUAAAGAUAGAUAGAAUCUGCAGCCUGUUGGAGGGUGGGUGUGUUCUGUGGUAGUAUAUAAUAUAUAAAGAUAGAUAGAAUCUGCAGCCUGUUGGAAGGUGGGUGUGUUCUGUGGUAGUAUAUAAUAUAUAAAGAUAGAUAGAAUCUGCAGCCUGUUGGAAGGUGGGUGUGUUCUGUGGUAGUAUAUAAUAUAUAAAGAUAGAUAGAAUCUGCAGCCUGUUGGAAGGUGGGUGUGUUCUGUGGUAGUAUAUAAUAUAUAAAGAUACAGAUAGAAUCUGCAGCCUGUUGGAAGGUGGGUGUGUUCUGUGGUAGUAUAUAAUAUAUAAAGAUAGAU